UACGUAGGGUGCGAGCGUUAAUCGGAAUUACUGGGCGUAAAGCGUGCGCAGGCGGUUUUGUAAGCCAGAUGUGAAAUCCCCGGGCUUAACCUGGGAAUGGCAUUUGGGACUGCAAGGCUGGAGUGCGGCAGAGGAGACUGGAAUUCCUGGUGUAGCAGUGAAAUGCGUAGAUAUCAGGAGGAACACCGAUGGCGAAGGCAGGUCUCUGGGCUGACACUGACGCUCAUGCACGAAAGCGUGGGGAGC
rnacentral:rRNA from 1 species